AACGUAGGAGGCAAGCGUUAUCCGGAUUUACUGGGUGUAAAGCGCGUGCAGGCGGCCCUGUAAGUUGAGCGUGAAAGCGCCCGGCUCAACCGGGCGAGGACGUUUGAGACUGCGGGGCUGGAGGCAGGCAGAGGCGUGUGGAAUUCCGGGUGUAGUGGUGAAAUGCGUAGAGAUCCGGAGGAACACCAGUGGCGCAGGCGACACGCUGGGCCUGGCCUGACGCUCAGACGCGACAGCAUGGGGAGCGAACGGG
rnacentral:rRNA from 1 species